CUUGUGUGCUUACAGGGUUUUCAAACAUCUCAAAAAGCUCCGGGUGUGAGGUCCAGUCGGGGGUCCUGACCUGUGUGUGCGUCAGCGAGGGGUUUCCUCUUCCCACCAUCACAUGGCCGCUGUUGGAGUCUCACGCUGAGCACUCUGUCACUACCAAUAAGUCAGGCCGCAACGUCGUCAGCGUCACUGUUUCUGUGAAGGAUCGCAACUACACCACUGUUGAGUGUGUCAGCAGCAAUGCACUCUGGGAAGCAAAAGAAAACCUCACGGUCAGCAGAAUAAAGGAGUCGAAACUCGACGAUCAACGUGGAGCCGGUGCAGCGCUUCCCUGGGUCAUCGUUGCUGUUUCUCUUGUUGUGAAUGUCAUCUUCAUCAUCCUCUUGACGCUCCUCUGGAACACAAGGAAACAGGUGAAACCAAAACAAGAGGACAGAACUUACACGUCACUGCGGAAAAAGGACGUGUCACCAGAGUACGAC